GAUGAACGCUGGCGGCGUGCCUAAUACAUGCAAGUCGAGCGAACAGACGAGGAGCUUGCUCCUUUGACGUUAGCGGCGGACGGGUGAGUAACACGUAGGUAACCUACCUAUAAGACUAGGAUAACUUCGGGAAACCGGAGCUAAUACCGGAUAAUAUUUCGAACCGCAUGGUUCGAUAGUGAAAGAUGGCUUUGCUAUCACUUAUAGAUGGACCUGCGCCGUAUUAGCUAGUUGGUAAGGUAACGGCUUACCAAGGCAACGAUGCGUAGCCGACCUGAGAGGGUGAUCGGCCACACUGGAACUGAGACACGGUCCAGACUCCUACGGGAGGCAGCAGUAGGGAAUCUUCCGCAAUGGGCGAAAGCCUGACGGAGCAACGCCGCGUGAGUGAUGAAGGUCUUCGGAUCGUAAAACUCUGUUAUUAGGGAAGAACAAACGUGUAAGUAACUGUGCACGUCUUGACGGUACCUAAUCAGAAAGCCACGGCUAACUACGUG
rnacentral:rRNA from 1 species